rnacentral:tRNA from 1 species
UCCUCGGUAGCUCAAUCGGCAGAGUCCCGCCGCCGGCGGGAUUAACCCCGCUGUAAGCGGGGUUGCAGGAUUGAGUCCUGCCCGGGGAG